rnacentral:tRNA from 1 species
CAGAAGAUAGUUUAACCAUAGAAUUCUGGCUUUGGGGGCCAGCGGUAUAAGUGUGACUCUUAUUCUUCUGA